UGUAGUUCGUUUACUACUCUAUCCCAUUCUUCUCUGACCACUUCUCUCUAUGGAAAGACCAGUGAGAGAGCUGAUAUUUUUUAUUCUUCUCUCUCCCAUGAGCUGCGAAACAAACCCAGAACCCAAAACCGCUUCCCCCUCCUCUGCUCUGUUCCAGCAAGUGUGUUUUAUCGAGACCGGGGUUUUAGGUUGGGUUCUGUUUUUUGGUUUGGGUUUAUCAGACGACGGAGGAGGAGGGAGGGUCUUCUUAUUAUCACUGUUCUGGUCGCUGUUGUUAUAUAGUUUUAGGUUGGGUUCUAUUUUUUGGUUUGGGUUUAUCAGACGACGGAGGAGGAGUGGUUCUAUUUAGUUUUAUGUUACACAGCUGUAUGAGUCGGGAGGCGGCGAAAUCGUCAAAAUCAAUCAGUUUGGCGAAAUUAAUACUUGGCUUGGCAAUGAAAGAGAAAGGAAAAGAUCUGAAGGUGGCUUUUUUUGUUGAAACCUUGUUUCUUGUUUGCUACAAGUAUGUGUGUUUUUUAGGUACUACGUUUACCCGCCUCGUAUAUCUAUUGCUGGUUUUAUUUUUGGUGAUUUUGAAAGGUCGGAGUGGUCGGUAGGUACAUACUAGUGGUUCUUUCUUUGCAUUUUUUUCCUGUCUGUGAUUGUUUAUUUUUGAUGUCGUGAGUUGUAGAGAUAUAGUUCUCUUCAAUCUGCUGCUCUCUUUAAUGCCGUGAGUUUAGAUUUAUUUUUGGACAGGGUUAGAUCUCUCUCCCAUACGCCUGAAACGUCACAAACUUAUAGAGACUUCAUAGCUUCAGAUUUGGCUCAUUUACGGAGAAUGUCGCAAAUCAAUCUAAGACUGUAAGGAUGCUAAAUCGGAGAGGCCGAGGAAGGGAUGGCGGCUUCGGAAUGGAGAAUACGCAAAGCUCUGCGAUCGAUGCGCAACCCAUUCCAGUUCUAGGUGCUUUCUAGUGAUUAUUGUAAGGGUGUCUUCACCACUGAUUCAUCAAGAUGAUCAGGAGAGGGGUAGCACUAUUUCCAAGGAAAAAUACCAGCUCAGUUGAAUCAAGAAAUGGGACUGUCAAUGUAAUUGCUAUCAACUCACUGGAGGAGACACAACAUUGAGAGAAUUGAGGAAGAUCUUAGCUUCAGCAUGUGCAAAAAAUUUGUGGAGGUAAAAUCUGAAUCUUUUGUCUAUAUUAUGAGUUACUUUUAUCACUAUGAUUAAAAGGAUUGUCUUAGAUAAUCUGCAAAUAUGCAGAGGAAGUUGUAGCAUUACCCCAGAUAAAAGAAAUUAAUACUAAACUGUCCUUAAAACAUGUAGAAAACAUAGAACUAAUGUUCUUCUCUCACAAUGAUAAUUCAUCUCUA